rnacentral:rRNA from 1 species
ACGAACGCUGGCGGCGUGCCUAACACAUGCAAGUCGAGCGGAGAUUGCAGAAAUGUAAUUUUAGCGGCGGACGGGUGAGUAACGCGUGGGCAACCUACCUGUAACUGGGGGAUAACACAGGGAAACUUGUGCUAAUACCGCAUAACAUCAUGAAGCGACAUCGUUUUAUGAUCAAAGGAGAAAUCCGGUGACAGAUGGGCCCGCGUCCGAUUAGCUAGUUGGCGGUGUAAUAGACCACCAAGGCGACGAUCGGUAGCCGAACUGAGAGGUUGAUCGGCCACAUUGGGACUGAGACACGGCCCAGACUCCUACGGGAGGCAGCAGUGGGGAAUAUUGCGCAAUGGGGGGAACCCUGACGCAGCAACGCCGCGUGAAGGAUGAAGGUUUUCGGAUCGUAAACUUCUUUGAUUGGGGACGAAUAAUGACGGUACCCAAAAAACAAGCCACGGCUAACUACGU